ACCCAUCAAAUUAUAAGGGAGGCGCUUUUCCAAGGCAGUAUUUCUCCAGGGGUUUUAUUUUCCUUGCCUUAACAAUAAAUUGGAGCAAUGCCUUAUCUCCGGACAGAUAUCCAAUUGCUCCAAAGACACACCGGAGCUAAGGACAUGAAAUAUAAAACUAAAUGAAGAUCCACGCUAAGAAUUCAUUUGAUCCUUAUGUCUUGCUGUUCGUUAUAACUGUUGAAAAGUUACAGAGAGAGAGAGAGAGAGAUUGGAGAAAGAGACAAGAAUAAACAUUAUGAGAAAUGGCA